UACGUAGGGGGCAAGCGUUGUCCGGAAUUAUUGGGCGUAAAGAGCGCGUAGGCGGUCCGAUAAGUCGGCUGUGAAAGUCAGGGGCUCAACCCUUGAAAGCCGGCCGAUACUGUCGGACUAGAGUCCGGAAGAGGCGAGUGGAAUUCCCGGUGUAGUGGUGAAAUGCGUAGAGAUCCGGAGGAACACCAGAGGCGAAGGCGGCACCCUGGCCUGAAACUGACACUGAGACGCGAAAGCAUGGGGAGCGAACGGG
rnacentral:rRNA from 1 species